CCUACGGGUGGCAGCAGUCGAGAAUCAUUCACAAUGGGGGAAACCCUGAUGGUGCGACGCCGCGUGGGGGAAUGAAGGCCUUCGGAUUGUAAACUCCUGUCAUGUGGGAGCAAAUUAAAAAGAUAGUACCACAAGAGGAAGAGACGGCUAACUCUGUGCCAGCAGCCGCGGGAAUACAGAGGUCUCAAGCGUUGUGCGAAAUCACUGGGCGUAAAGCGUGCGUAGGCGUAUUCGUAAGUCGGGUGUGAAAGGCGCGGGCUCAAGCCGCGGACGGCACAUGAUACUGCGAGACUAGAGUAAUGUAGAGGGAGCCGGAAUUCGCGGUGUAGCAGUGAAAUGCGUAGAUAUCGAGAGGAACACUCGUGGCGAAGGCGGGUUCCUGGACAUUAACUGACGCUGAGGCACGAAGGCCAGGGGAGCGAAAGGGAUUAGAUACCCUGGUAGUC
rnacentral:rRNA from 1 species